GAAGUCUGAGGCCUUCAGAGGAGCCUGGAGCCUGAGGCCUGUGGGGAGGCCUGUGGAGAGGCGAGGCCUGCAGGAAGGAGGAAUAGAAAGAAGCUCGCUCCUCUGGAGGUUUGGAGGUUGAGGCUGUUGGAGGUUAAGGAGUGGAGGUUUGGAGGUCAGGUCCGGGUUCUGGGUAAUUAGCCCAGGACAAGGUAGUCGCAGGCCAGCAUUUGGAGGUAGAGGGCUGUUCUGGUUCUGAAUUUUAGGUUGUAAAUAAAA